rnacentral:rRNA from 1 species
GGACGGGUGAGUAAUGUCUGGGAAACUGCCUGAUGGAGGGGGAUAACUACUGGAAACGGUAGCUAAUACCGCAUAAYGUCGCAAGACCAAAGAGGGGGACCUUCGGGCCUCUUGCCAUCAGAUGUGCCCAGAUGGGAUUAGCUAGUAGGCGGGGUAAUGGCCCACCUAGGCGACGAUCCCUAGCUGGUCUGAGAGGAUGACCAGCCACACUGGAACUGAGACACGGUCCAGACUCCUACGGGAGGCAGCAGUGGGGAAUAUUGCACAAUGGGCGCAAGCCUGAUGCAGCCAUGCCGCGUGUGUGAAGAAGGCCUUCGGGUUGUAAAGCACUUUCAGCGGGGAGGAAGGCRGUACGGUUAAUAACCGUGCUGAUUGACGUUACCCGCAGAAGAAGCACCGGCUAACUCCGUGCCAGCAGCCGCGGUAAUACGGAGGGUGCAAGCGUUAAUCGGAAUUACUGGGCGUAAAGCGCACGCAGGCGGUCUGUCAAGUCGGAUGUGAAAUCCCCGGGCUCAACCUGGGAACUGCAUUCGAAACUGGCAGGCUGGAGUCUCGUAGAGGGAGGUA